rnacentral:rRNA from 1 species
CAGUCGCCGCGGUAAUACGAAGGGGGCUAGCGUUGUUCGGAAUUACUGGGCGUAAAGCGCACGUAGGCGGACAUUUAAGUCAGGGGUGAAAUCCCGGGGCUCAACCCCGGAACUGCCUUUGAUACUGGGUGUCUAGAGUAUGGAAGAGGUGAGUGGAAUUCCGAGUGUAGAGGUGAAAUUCGUAGAUAUUCGGAGGAACACCAGUGGCGAAGGCGGCUCACUGGUCCAUUACUGACGCUGAGGUGCGAAAGCGUGGGGAGCAAACAGGAUUAGAUACCCCGGUAGUCCCUGUCUCUUAUAU